rnacentral:rRNA from 1 species
UAGGUAACCUGCCUGUAAGUUUGGGAUAACAUGCCUAACGGCGUGCUAAUACCGAAUGAAGCACUGGGAUUAAUUUUCAGUGUUAAAGAUAUCCUUUGGUUAUCGCUUACAGAUGGGCCUGCGGCUCAUUAGCUAGUUGGUAGGGUAACGGCUUACCAAGGCAACGAUGGGUAGCCGGCCUGAGAGGGUGGUCGGCCACACUGGGACUGAGAUACGGCCCAGACUCCUACGGGAGGCAGCAGUAAGGAAUAUUGCGCAAUGGUCGCAAGACUGACGCAGCAACGCCGCGUGGAUGAUGAAGCUCUAUGGAGUGUAAAGUCCUGUUAGAAGGGAAGAACAGUACGGAGUCAAAGCUUCGUGCAUGACGGUACCUUCAGAGAAAGCCCCGGCUAACUCCGUGCCAGCAGCCGCGGUAAUACGGGGGGGGCAAGCGUUGUCCGGAAUUACUGGGCGUAAAGGGCGCGUAGGUGGAAUUGUAAGUUAGAGGUGAAAGCCAGCAGCUUAACUGCUGGUCUGCCUUUAAUACUGCAGUUCUUGAGUGCGAAAGAGGGAAGCGGAAUUCUUGGUGUAGCGGUGAAAUGCGUAGAUAUCAAGAAGAACACCGGUAGCGUAGGCGGCUUCCUGGUUCGUAACUGACACUGAGGCGCGAAAGUGUGGGGAGCAAACAGGAUUAGAUACCCUGGUAGUCCACACCGUAACACGAUGGAUACUAGGUGUUGGGUUUCACGACUCAGUGCCGAUGUUAACGCAUUAACUAUCCCGCCUGGGGAGUACGAUCGCAAGGUUGAAACUCAAAGGAAUUGACGGGGGACCGCACAAGCGGUGGAGCAUGUGGUUUAAUUGGAUGCAACGCGAAGAACCUUACCGGGGUUUGAAAUGCAGCUGCUCUCCGUUGAAAGACGGAUUUCCUUCGGGACAACUGUACAGGUGCUGCAUGGCUGUCGUCAGCUCGUGCCGUGAGGUGUUGGGUUAAGUCCCGCAACGAGCGCAACCCUUGUCCUUAGUUGCUAUCAGGUCAAGCUGAGAGCUUUAAGGAGACUGCCUCGCAUAACGAGGAGGAAGGUGGGGAUGAC